UCGGCUCCCUCCGGCUUGGGUUGCUGCGAGUGGCAGAGGCACCUGGGCCGGGAGAAGGCGGACAGGAGAAGAUCGGACGGCAGGCUGGGGCCGGAGCUCAGGAAACAAAGUUAUACAAAAGAAACCCUGAUUUUGUGGCUACAAAUAAAUCUAUAAAGCAUCCUGAGCCUGAUAGGAAAUGAAAGAAAUACCUCUGUAGUGACCCUCACAGAAACCAGUGGGAGUAUUUCCAACAAUCCAACACUUUGAUUAUAUGAAAGAGCUGGGUUGCCUAACAGGCAGCAGCCUUGGCUGUCCAGGAAGAAUGAGAAGGCGUGUGCCCGUUUAUCUGGUGGUUCUCCUUGUGGCCUCAUCAGUGGGAUACCCCUCCAGACGUUCUGCAAUGGACUUGGACGCAAC